UAAUAGCUGUAAUUGUACAGCUCUGAUUAUAAUUGUAAAGGACUAGCGGUGCUACAUGGAAAGGCUUUGUGCCUCCGUGGUAAAACGAAGCCCAUGGGAGACCGUGGCCAAGAGCUUCUCCCAGGAUUCUGUAGGACUCAGCCAGGCUUCAAGCCCCCAGAUCUCCUGGAAACGCAGACCGCACGUCUGAAGAUAGCACGAGGAUUCCUCCCAGCUCCAUCCCAAGGUUUCGCAAACAAACCAUCUCCGAUCUCACCUGAUGCUGGAUACCUCAGUAACAUGGCUGUGCAGAAUCUCAGCUUCAGCUGCACG